UACAGAGGUGCCAAGCGUUGUUCGGAUUUAUUGGGCGUAAAGGGUGCGUAGGCGGCCAUGCAAGUCGGAUGUGAAAUACCGGAGCCUAACUCCGGAACGGCAUUCGAAACUGCAUGGCUCGAGAACUGGAGAGGUGACUGGAAUUCUCGGUGUAGCAGUGAAAUGCGUAGAUAUCGAGAGGAACACCAGAGGCGAAAGCGAGUCACUGGACAGAUUCUGACGCUGAGGCACGAAAGCUAGGGGAGCAAACGGG
rnacentral:rRNA from 1 species